rnacentral:rRNA from 1 species
UACGUAGGCAGCAAGCGUUGUUCGGAGUUACUGGGCGUAAAGGGUGUGUAGGCGGUUGUUUAAGUUUGGUGUGAAAUCUCCCGGCUCAACUGGGAGGGUGCGCCGAAUACUGAAUGACUUGGAGUGCGGGAGAGGAAAAGUGGAAUUCCUGGUGUAGCGGUGAAAUGCGUAGAUAUCAGGAGGAACACCGGUGGUGUAGACGGCUUUCUGGACCGUAACUGACGCUGAGACACGAAAGCGUGGGUAGCAAACAGG